rnacentral:lncRNA from 1 species
AAGAACUGUUCCUCACCUCUGAUGACUUAAGGCUCCAAGUUCUUUUUAGAAUGUUCAGAUCUUGGGAGCAGGCCAAGAUGGGUGUGUGGGUGAGGGGAGCAAGGAUGGCUAGAUGCUUGACUUCUGUUUGUGGACUUGAGACUACUCCCUGGAAAAGAGGAAACUUCCAUUUCCCUAGUGGCCUAUCACCGAGGAAACCCAUUUCUUCAUCUUCAAAUUUCAUUAGGUUCCUACUUCCAGAUUUGAAUAUGCAACUAAGUUUUGACUCAGAGAUUCAGAGAACUGAUUUAUUAUUUAUUCCUGUGAGUCAAAGGAAAUGCAAAAGAAAAAAGAAAAGAAGAAAGAAAGAAAAGCAAGCAAGGGAAAACACAAUAAAAGAAAGAAAGGGAAAAGCUGAGAGCAGGAAGACAAGAAGUAGCACUCGAUGGGGGCCCAGACUUCCUUCAGUUGACUCUAAUGGAAAUCACCACACCGCCUUUGAGGACCCCUCCUGCAACACGGGCUAAAUUGAAACCAUCCUGAACUAGGGCAGGGCAGCUGUGGAAUAUAGAUCUGAGGUGGAACAAAUGAGAGGUUGCCUCUGGCCACAAAGUUGGGUUGUGGCAGAGCUGGACGCAGGCCAGAAGCGUAAACCCGGAUGGAGCAUAAACCAGGAUCCAGAAGGAGGAGGAAAAAGGGAUUCACACUGCUUCUGCAUUUCCAUGUUUUUUUGGUGGCCUUUCUUCCCUCCUUACUUGACUUGCUUGGCUUAGAAACAUUCUCCUUGUUCCUUUCUGAUUUACUACAUUUUUCUCUAUAAACUCUGCAUCUGGGAAAAUAUGAGCCAACCCUUUCUCUAGCUUGUUUUAGGUGCUGCAGACAAAGGCACUAAAUAUUUUUGGUGGAUUUACUUCUGUUACUAUGCUCUAGCUCAGCAUUUGUCCUCCGGAUAAGCUAUAAAAUUAAGGUCCUAAUUGUAGUUUGGUGCUAAGAAUCCCCCCUGAAGCUGGUCAGUCUCAAGGGCAAAUGGGUGCUUUGAAUGUUCAAGCAAGGUGCCUAAGUGCCUUCUGUGUUCCCGGAGCUGUGCUAAGAGUUGGGGGUACAGAGAUGAGCAAGGCACCUUUGCUUCCCUCGAUGAAGCUAUAGACAGGCCCGUAAACAGAUCAUGUCCGUAAGACAUUCCGUCUCUUAAGACAGAUGGAAUCAGAUGGGUAGGGCUGGGUGGCAGAGGUAGUCGUGCACUCUGGAUUUUGAACAAGUGCACUGGGUAAUUUUUCUGCUCUUAGGUUUUGGCAUCACUGCUCAAAUGGGUGGGAAGGGAUUGUCAUUCAGUUCUGAUUACUUCUCACAGAAGAAUUACACACACGUUUUUCACUUGAGAUGAUGAACGUUUAAGCUCUAAAACAAUUCCCAGCUAUAAAAAUAUUGCUAGUUAUUACUUAAUUUUGACUAUGCUCCACAUAUUGAGUAACAGGCUUUACUUUCCAUAGGGAUUGAUUGCUCCAACAAUUUCAUGACAAUCUAUGCUAUUACCCCAUUUCACAGGUGAUGAUUCAUGAUGUUAAGUAACUUCCUAGU